rnacentral:rRNA from 1 species
UUUCCCGGUUGAUCCCGCAGGACCUGACUGCUAUCGGAUUGAUACUAAGCCAUGUGAGUCAUUGCAGUAAUGCAAGGCAGACGGCUCAGUAACACGUAGUCAAUCUAACCUAUGGACGAGGAUAACCUCGGGAAACUGAGAAUAAUACUCGAUAGACCAUAAUGCCUGGAACGGUUUAUGGUUCAAAUGAAUUUCGCCAUAGGGUGGGACUGCGGUCUAUCAGCUUGUUGGUGAGGUAAUGGCCCACCAAGGCUAUAACAGAUACGGGCUCUGAGAGGAGAAGCCCGGAGAUGGGUACUGAGACACGGACCCAGGCCCUAUGGGGCGCAGCAGGCGAGAAAACUUUGCAAUGUGCGAAAGCACGACAAGGUUAAUCCGAGCGGUUCCUGCUAAAGGAACCUUUUGUUAGUUGUAACACCACUGAUGAAUAAGGGGUGGGCAAGUUCUGGUGUCAGCCGCCGCGGUAAAACCAGCACCUCAAGUGGUCAGGAGGAUUAUUGGGCCUAAAGCAUCCGUAGCCGGCUCUGUAAGUUUUCGGUUAAAUCUAUAUGCUCAACAUAUGGGCUGCCGGGAAUACUGCAAAGCUAGGAAGUGGGAGAGGUAGACGGUACUCCGUAGGAAGGGGUAAAAUCCUUUGAUCUAUGGAUGACCACCUGUGGCGAAGGCGGUCUACCAGAACACGUUCGACGGUGAGGGAUGAAAGCUGGGGGAGCAAACCGGAUUAGAUACCCGGGUGGUCCCAGCUGUAAACUAUGCAAACUCAGUGAUGCAUUGGCUUGUGGCCAGUGCAGUGCCGCAGGGAAGCCGUUAAGUUUGCCGCCUGGGAAGUACGUACGCAAGUAUGAAACUUAAAGGAAUUGGCGGGGGAGCACCACAAGGGGUGAAGCCUGCGGUUCAAUUGGAUUCAACGCCGG